rnacentral:rRNA from 1 species
GGCCUCAAAUAAUGUGUGACUACCC